rnacentral:misc_RNA from 1 species
GAUGAAGAACGCAGCGAAAUGCGAUACGUAAUGUGAAUUGCAGAAUUCAGUGAAUCAUCGAGUCUUUGAACGCACAUUGCGCCCCCUGGUAUUCCGGGGGGCAUGCCUGUCCGAGCGUCAUUGCUGCCCUCAAGCACGGCUUGUGUGUUGGGCCUCCGUCCUCCUCCCGGGGGACGGGCCCGAAAGGCAGCGGCGGCACCGCGUCCGGUCCUCGAGCGUAUGGGGCUUCGUCACCCGCUCUUGUAGGCCCGGUCGGCGCUUGCCGACACAUCAAUCUUUUUUCCAGGUUGACCUCGGAUCAGGUGGGGAUACCCGCUGAACUUAAGCAUAUCAAUAAGCGGAGGA